UGGAGAAGGUGUUUCUCAACCUGCAGCCCUGGGCGGCCUCCACGUCUCCUUUAUUGCAGUGCUCCCUCCUUCUCCAGGCGUUGCGCCCUAAUUGUCCCCGCGGGAAAUAAUGGCUGGCGGGGCAGCCGGGUCGCGCGGAGGCAACAGACCUCCGGGUCAUAGGUGCUAGAGCCCGCCCUUCUCCCGCCCAGUCAUAGAUAAUUUGUCCCGGCAGGAAGUAAAGGCCGGCGGGGCUGUCCCAGCAGCUGGGGAAUAGGCGGGUGCGGGCUCCGCCGCGGCGCGGGGGAGACACCGGAGAGGGUGCUGAGCUGGAGGGAGCUUCAGCGCCAGCCCCGAGCGCACACCAAUAGCAGACCCUCUAGCGCCAGAUGUACUGACUUCAAGGCCACUCAAGACAUAGUUUGUGUAAGCACAGCACAGUCUUACAGUGGUGUAGUCUAUAGCCCGUGCAAGGACAGCAAGGACCAGCCAAGAAUUUCUGACCCCGGCCAAAUCCUCGCUAUCUGACUAGCAAACGUGUGAAGCUCUUGAAAAGGACAUCAAGUGCAAAGUGAACCAGCUCACUCCCAGGCGGUAUUGGAACCAUGAGCAGUAACGGAACAGACCUGACCAUUGGUUUUGUGUCCUCUUCUGUAGCUGUCCUUUUGUUUGGCUCAAACUUUGUACCACUUAAAAAAUACGAUACUGGUGAUGGAAUGUUUCUCCAGUGGGUACUGUGUGCUGCCAUAUGGUUGAUUGCCGUGGUGGUCAAUCUGAUAUUACAUUGCCCUAAAUUUUGGCCUUUUGCAAUGGUUGGCGGCUGCAUUUGGGCAACAGGGAACAUUGCUGUUGUCCCAAUUAUCAAAACCAUUGGUUUAGGCCUUGGAAUCUUAAUCUGGGGAUCAUUUAAUACCUUAACUGGCUGGGCAAGCUCAAGGUUUGGCUGGUUUGGAAUGGAUGCAGAAGAAGUAUCAAAACCGGUGCUAAAUUACGUCGGAGCUGGAUUAUCAGUAGUGAGUGCUUUCAUAUUUUUGUUCAUCAAAAGUGAAAUACCAAAUAACAUGUGUUCUGUGGACACCACACCAUUAAUGACAGAUCAUGUGAUCAACAGCACUCAAGAUUCCUGCCCUGACUAUUCCUGGGUGGAUAAACUUUCUACAGCACAACAGCGCACAGUGGGCUGCACUCUUGCAGUGAUAUCUGGAAUACUCUAUGGGUCUACAUUUGUGCCCAUCAUUUAUAUCAAGGACCACAGCAAAAGAAAUGACAGUAUAUACGCAGGGGCAAGCCAGUAUGAUUUAGACUACGUUUUUGCACACUUCAGUGGCAUCUUUUUUACAAGCACAGUCUACUUUCUGGCCUACUGUAUAGCCAUGAAAAAUAACCUGAAGCUAUAUCCUGAAGCAGUCUUGCCAGGAUUCCUGUCAGGAGUUCUUUGGGCAAUAGCCACCUGCUGUUGGUUCAUAGCUAACCAUGCUCUCAGUGCUGUGGUCAGUUUUCCGAUAAUCACUGCUGGUCCAGGAUUUAUAGCUGCAAUGUGGGGUGUCUUCAUGUUUAAGGAAAUACAGGGUCUACAAAACUACCUAUUGAUGAUAUUCGCAUUUUUCAUCAUCUUGACUGGAGCAUUAUGCACAGCUUUCUCCAAAAUCUAACAAUCACAAGACCAGCAGAUGGCAGCAGUGGACUACGAACAUUCCUGCACUAGACUUUCUAUGGAUAUAUGCAGGCAUUUCCUUUAGACACAUACUGAGGAGACAAGCUGCUGGGUGGAGACAUCCUGUACAAUCAGUUAAAAUAUUAUGUUCUUCACAAGAAUAAUUAAGAUCACAUUUUAAAAUUUCCAGAUGGUUGGGGCACCUGGGUGGCUCAGUCCAUUAAGCGCCAACUCAUGAUUGCAGUUCAGGUCAUGGUCUCAGGUUUGCUUCUUGAAUUCUGAUGUUAUACCAUUUAGUUCAGAAAAAUUUAUUCCAGUUAGGUCUUCAUCACAGAAGGAAGAUCAGCAAUGUUCCAUAUGGGGACUCCUUCUUCAGCCUUAGUCCUCAAGGGAAGAGGACAUGGAUCACAGCUACAGCCAGCCUAAAAGGGACAUGUAGCAUAAACAGAAAUAAAUCUUUGUUGUUAAACAGCUGAGUCACAAAGAGGUCAGCAGGCCUAGGAACAUAGAGCUAAUACGUGUCAGAGCCAGGGUUCAAGCCCAGCUAGUCUAGCUCCGAAAUCCUUGCUUUUAAUCCAUCCACUCCCUUAUAUUGCCUAUACUGGCAUUAUCUACCAACAGCCCCAUUCCAGUGUUUUGCACAGAAAGUCCUUACUGGCCUGCUGCAAUGUCAAGACAUUCAAGGAUUUCGGGGCAGAACAUUCGACUGGAGAGAUCACAAACUUGACUGGGACUUACUUGAUAUAACAGCAUAUUUUAGAGAUUUAUUUUCACUAUUGACAACCAAAAUGUAGAGUGCAUCCAUUUCCUGCAAGCAGUGCAAAGUGAAUGUAAUAAUGUGAUAGCAACAGUGGACACAUUUUCUGAUGAUGUCAUGGUAGAUUCUGUUUUUUAUAGGACCUGAUCAUGAGCAAACUUUAAGAAACUGCCUGAAAACAUUUCGACUAUUAUGAAGAAACAUUUAAAAGACAAUAAAACAGGAUAUUCAUUGAAUUAAAUAGUUAAAGGAUUUGAAUAGGUGUCCCUGAUGAUAUUACCUUGCAGAUUCUGUGGGUAAAAAGAAAAACAGUAUUUCAACACCAAUAGACUAUUCUUAACUGCUGUAGCUCCUUCGCUAUUUUGCAUAACUUGAUUCAGUCUUCAAAGACCAUUUCAAAUCAUUUCAAAUAGAGGUAUUUUUUCUGAAGAAAACUUUACCUAGGCACUACAGAGGAAUUAACUGCUCUCCCAGCAAUGCUUCAUUCAUUCCGCUAAUCUGUUACUUCCCUCACAGUACAAAUUAAGUUCAAACAUGGCAGCCGCCGUCUAGACACCUGCAUUUUUCGUAUGCAUGUUUUUAAAUCACCAGAAUAUAACAGAUACCUAAUAAAUAUUUGUUGAUUUUUGAAAA